ACCUCGAAUCAGGUAGGACUACCCGCUGAACUUAAGCAUAUCAAUAAGCGGAGGAAAAGAAACCAACAGGGAUUGCCCUAGUAACGGCGAGUGAAGCGGCAACAGCUCAAAUUUGAAAUCUGGCCUUCGGGUCCGAGUUGUAAUUUGUAGAGGAUGCUUUUGGUGAGGUGCCUUCCGAGUUCCCUGGAACGGGACGCCAUAGAGGGUGAGAGCCCCGUCUGGUUGGACACCGAUCCUCUGUAAAGCUCCUUCAACGAGUCGAGUAGUUUGGGAAUGCUGCUCUAAAUGGGAGGUAUAUGUCUUCUAAAGCUAAAUAUUGGCCAGAGACCGAUAGCGCACAAGUAGAGUGAUCGAAAGAUGAAAAGCACUUUGAAAAGAGAGUUAAAAAGUACGUGAAAUUGUUGAAAGGGAAGCGCUCAUGACCAGACUUGGGCUUGGUUGAUCAUCCAGGGUUCUCCCUGGUGCACUCUUCCAGUUCAGGCCAGCAUCAGUUCGCUGCGGGGGAUAAAGGCUUUGGGAAUGUGGCUCCUUCGGGAGUGUUAUAGCCCAUUGUGUAAUACCCUGUGGUGGACUGAGGACC
rnacentral:rRNA from 1 species